AUUGAACGCUGGCGGCAUGCCUUACACAUGCAAGUCGAACGGUAACGGGCCUUCGGGUGCCGACGAGUGGCGAACGGGUGAGUAAUACAUCGGAACGUGCCCGAUCGUGGGGGAUAACGAGGCGAAAGCUUUGCUAAUACCGCAUACGAUCUACGGAUGAAAGCAGGGGACCGCAAGGCCUUGCGCGGACGGAGCGGCCGAUGGCAGAUUAGGUAGUUGGUGGGAUAAAAGCUUACCAAGCCGACGAUCUGUAGCUGGUCUGAGAGGAUGAUCAGCCACACUGGGACUGAGAAAAGGCCCAGACUCCUACGGGAGGCAGAAGUGGGGAAUGUUGGAAAAUGGGCGCAAGCCUGAUCCAGCCAUGCCGCGUGCAGGAUGAAGGCCUUCGGGUUGUAAACUGCUUUUGUACGGAACGAAAAGCCUUCUUUUAAUACAGGAGGGUCAUGACGGUACCGUAAGAAUAAGCACCGGCUAACUACGUG
rnacentral:rRNA from 1 species